GCCUUGUCACACUCUGUGUCACUCUGAAUCUCCCCGAGAAUUACGUUAAGGGCACAUGUGUCUGUGGAGUGCUCAGCCACUUGCACGUUAAUUUCACGUGCAGGCUCUUCCGUUGAUCGGAUCAGCCAAAACCCUCGACGUCGUAAUCGACAGAGUGUCAACAACAACAACAA